ensembl:lncRNA
AAACAGUGAGAAGCACUCAUUAAGAAUGCAUUUUCAAAAUAAAAGCAGCUCUGCUUUGAUUUAAUAACACCUCUUUGUUUUACAUAGGCUUCUAACACAGUUUACCCCUCACACACUAACAGCCUGAUCAGGACGUGCUCGCACAACCACAAGUGUGCUGUAAAAAGCUGCCAUCCCACAGGCCCUGGGAGGAGAUACAGGCACAAACAGCCUCCUGCAGAGCAAACUGAGCCAGGCUGGCUGCAGGCGUUCCCUGGGACGUGCCCCUCUCCACCUCAUGUGGGGCCCUGUGCAGGCCCGAGCCAAAAAGCCGCCUCACGCUGCCACCCCAUGUUCCUCAGGCUGUUGUUGGUGGAACAAGAAGCUGAGUGGCUGUGUAUGCCCCUGUGAAACAGCCCCAGUGCCUGGAAGAUGAGUAGGUCUCUUAGACUAAUUACCCGAGCAGUAAAACAACAUGCGCUGUUUGUGCACUCCUGUGCAUGCGAGGUGUGCAGGCAGGACAGCUGGCCCUGCCACAGUGCAGGGAGAAGUGGAGAUUUCACUGCUAAAAGCAGCACAAGUCAGCUGACUAACAUACAUGAUGCUAUCAGUCAGAUCUAUAUUGGUGCUCCUUGAAAGUGUGAUUAAAAUGCUUCCACAGGGAAUGAACAACCCGCAUGCCCUCAGCCGUGUGCUAUCCAGGAUCUCUCGUGUAUGUAUAUAUAUACAAAUAUAUAUACCUGUUGGGUAGUGCAUGAUUUCUGUAGUUCAGCCCCUCGCUUUGUCACUGAUUUGAUCGCUCCUUAUGUUCUUAAUUAAAUUAAAGGUCUGUGAGGUUCUGGCCAAAUUAAUCAUGGCUGGGAACCAAUAUUCAUGUUUCUCUGCAGCUUUGAAGUCUAUUUAAUCUAUCCUGUUAUCGCUGUAAUAUUUGAGAUGUGACCAGGACUUUGUAAGGAGACAUAUUAGACAGAUUGCAAAGUUAAUGGGGACAUAUGGGUGUUGUUUCUCAGCCAUUAUUCUUUCUGUAAUUGCGGUGGAAAGAAUCUGUCAGCGGAAAUGUGCUCCUCAGUAAUACACUGCUGUGGCACAUUGGUAAGUGUUGUGGAUAGCAGUGGUCUGUGGAAGUGUGUUCUGUGCAUGCAGUUGAUCACUCUGUACUCUGUAUUUGUUUUCUUGGAAACAUUUAACCAAUGAUGGAGUCAUUUGGGAAUAUAUCUGGCAUAAGCUUUGACUUCCACAGCACCGUACACAAUUUUCUGAUCAGCCUUAUGAUAAAACAAAAGAAAAAUCUUAUUCUCUUUGUGGUUUUCUGCCUGUGAGUUUUGGUUGAUGCACUGUGUGCUUGCUGGUCAGCAAACCCCUGGGAAACUCAGCAUCAUUGAAUAGAACACCUGCCUCAUUUUGUUUUCCAGCCACUUCCUCAAGUCUAAUCUGUUACAUCUCUGUUUAAAUUAGCACAGCCAAGCAGGUAUGAAACUAAAGUCUUAACCACUCAUGUCAUGUUUCAUAAGAUUAGGCAGGAAGCACUCCAUAAAUUCCAGUAGUUAACACUCAUUUUAAUUGAAUUGCCCCCAG